CGAAUUGUAGUUGAAGCCUCAAAGCGCUUACCUAACAAGUUUGAGGCUCUGAGUUCAAAUCUCAGUACUUCCA
rnacentral:tRNA from 1 species